rnacentral:rRNA from 1 species
AUGCAAGUCGAGCGGUAACAGGCGUAGCAAUACGUGCUGACGAGCGGCGAACGGGUGAGUAGUGCUUCGGAAUCUACCCAAUGGUGGGGAAUAACCAGCCGAAAGGUUGGCUAAUUCCGCAUGAGCCCUACGGGGGAAAGCAGGGGAUCGCAAGACCUUGCGCCGAUGGAUGAGCCGAAGCCGGAUUAGCUAGUUGGUAGGGUAACGGCCUACCAAGGCGACGAUCCGUAGCUGGUCUGAGAGGACGACCAGCCACACUGGGACUGAGACACGGCCCAGACUCCUACGGGAGGCAGCAGUGGGGAAUAUUGGACAAUGGGGGAAACCCUGAUCCAGCGACGCCGCGUGUGUGAAGAAGGCCUGCGGGUUGUAAAGCACUUUUAGUGGGGAUGAAAAGCUCAGGGCUAACACCUCUGGGUCUUGACCUAACCCACAGAAAAAGCACCGGCUAACUCUGUGCCAGCAGCCGCGGUAAUACAGAGGGUGCGAGCGUUAAUCGGAAUUACUGGGCGUAAAGCGUACGUAGACGGUUGGAUAAGUCGGAUGUGAAAGCCCCGGGCUCAACCUGGGAAUGGCAUUCGAGACUGUUCAGCUAGGGUGCGGAAGAG